AUUGAACGCUGGCGGCAGGCCUAACACAUGCAAGUCGAGCGGGGUUUUCGGACCUAGCGGCGGACGGGUGAGUAAUGCGUAGGAAGCUACCCGAUAGAGGGGGAUACCAGUUGGAAACGACUGUUAAUACCGCAUAAUGUCUACGGACCAAAGUGUGGGACCUUCGGGCCACAUGCUAUCGGAUGCGCCUACGUGGGAGUAGCUAGUUGGUGGGGUAAUGGCUCACCAAGGCGACGAUCCCUAGCUGGUUUGAGAGGAUGAUCAGCCACACUGGAACUGAGACACGGUCCAGACUCCUACGGGAGGCAGCAGUGGGGAAUAUUGGACAAUGGGCGCAAGCCUGAUCCAGCCAUGCCGCGUGUGUGAAGAAGGCCUUCGGGUUGUAAAGCACUUUCAGUAGGGAGGAAGGGUGUUGUGAUAAUAGCACAGCAUUUUGACGUUACCUACAGAAGAAGCACCGGCUAACUCUGUGCCAGCCGCCGCAGUAACAC
rnacentral:rRNA from 1 species